rnacentral:piRNA from 1 species
UAUAUGGUACUGACAAUGAUUGAUAUGA